rnacentral:rRNA from 1 species
GACGAACGCUGGCGGCGUGCCUAAUACAUGCAAGUAGAACGCACAGUUUAUACCGUAGCUUGCUACACCAUAGACUGUGAGUUGCGAACGGGUGAGUAACGCGUAGGUAACCUGCCUGGUAGCGGGGGAUAACUAUUGGAAACGAUAGCUAAUACCGCAUAAUAUUAAUUAUUGCAUGAUAAUUAAUUGAAAGGUGCAAUUGCACCACUACCAGAUGGACCUGCGUUGUAUUAGCUGGUAGGUGAGGUAACGGCUCACCUGGGCGACGAUACAUAGCCGACCUGAGAGGGUGAUCGGCCACACUGGGACUGAGACACGGCACAGACUCCUACGGGAGGCAGCAGUAGGGAAUCUUCGGCAAUGGACGAAAGUCUGACCGAGCAACGCCGCGUGAGUGAAGAAGGUUUUCGGAUCGUAAAGCUCUGUUGUAAGAGAAGAACGGGUGUGAGAGUGGAAAGUUCACACUGUGACGGUAUCUUACCAGAAAGGGACGGCUAACUACGUG